UACGGAGGGUGCACGCGUACAUCGGAUUUAUUGGGCGUAAAGAGCACGUAGGCGGAAUGGAAAGUUAGUUGUGAAAACCUGGGGCUCAACCCCGGGUCCGCAUCUAAAACUCCCAUUCUAGAGGAUGGACGGAGAAAAGGGAAUUCCACGUGUAGCGGUGAAAUGCGUAGAUAUGUGGAAGAACACCAGUGGCGAAGGCGCUUUUCUAGUUUAUACCUGACGCUGAGGUGCGAAAGCAAGGGGAGCAAACAGG
rnacentral:rRNA from 1 species